CCAUCUAGAAGCUUCCCUUCCUCUUUCUAUCACUUUGGUUUUAUUGUUUGUUUCAUACAUAUCUUUCACUCUCCCAUUCUUAUUUUUCAUUCUCACGUUUCUCUCAUCUGUUCUUUUUUUCUUUCUAUUCGCCUUUUCCUCUCUCAUGUUUGGUUUUCUACUAUUUUUUUCUUAUUUUCUUUCUCUCUACCUCUUUGGUUUGCUUCACUAUGAGUUUUGCUCUUCAUGGGAAUUUCAUAAAUGAAAUCAAGACUCAAUCAUUAAAGCCACCACUUAUAGUGUCAACAAGAAGAACAAGGGGACGUUAUUGAAAGAACGACAAAUGUUGCAAUCUCAAGCUAUCGCCUAGGUUUAUUUCAUUAAGAAUUUGUUGAACAUUCUCUGAGGAUGAUGGGAAAUCGUUGUGAUUAAAGCUGAAGCAGGGGUGAUGUGAUUCAUUUUGCACUAUUUUACUUCUUUGUUGUCUAAUGUUUUUAACACUUACAGUAAAAUUUGUGAGUAAUUAGUGAUGAAUUUUUUCACCUUUUCCUUUCCUCUCUUUUUGUAGCUGGUAUUUGCUGAUGUAAUUCAGAUUUGAAUUUUUUUUGUCAUGAUAAUUAUCAUUAUUUGUCUCAUUGAGAGAUUAAA